CCCUCGUGGCGUUUCAGGUUUAUGUCGCCCAAACCAGUUGAGCCUGGAGUGCCUGACCUGGAGAGAUAACAGCUCAGGGGGCCACUGCUAUACCCGUGUCCGUGUGCAGCUGUGAUGUAAUGAAGCCUCUGUCCUUUUUUCCUUCUCUCCUUUGAAGAGAAGAGGGUCCAGCACAGCAACAACAGCAACACACACACAAAACCCAAGCCCAAACCUCCCCCUUUUCCUAUUUCCAGCUAUUCCCAGGCACGCUUUUGUGCUAUUUCUCCCCACGCCCUUCUUAAAGCAAACAUUUUAAGAAUGGCUUUAGUUAAUGAUGUUUUAAUUCAGUCAUAAAUGUGGUGGAAAGUUACCUCAGCUCUACACGCACCUUUGUGGUCAGUUCCAGGCCCAGCAUCAGGGCGGCUGAGUGGUGCCUACCUGAUUUUAUAAUCCAGAUAUUGCCGUUCAGGUUAUAAAGUCUCCUCCGCUUUUUCCCUUCUGGAGUAUCCAACAGCACACUGUGUGUGUGUGUGUGUGUCCUUUUGCUAUUUUCAAUUAUUCACAGUUGUCAACUGAUAUGUGCUGUGUGGGCAGGGAGCCAUAGGCGAAAGGAAAAAAGAUGGAGCAUGCACAUCCCAGGAGAGUAAGGGGAAGACUCCAAUGUACUCUGGAACGCUCAGGUGGGAUCCGAGAGGCCAGGCAAAAAUCUGGCCGGGCAAACCAUCUAAAGUGGCACACUUGACUGUCUAGGUCGUUCCUGUAGCUCAGACAGAAGCAUCCGCUGAGAAUAUGACUGGCCAUCACUCCGUGUCUGGAGGCAACUCUGAACCACCAAACCAGUGAGUUUAUGCAUCUUGAUUGGAACCAGUAGGGCAGUUCUACAUUGGUUCAGCUAUCUAAUUUUGCUGCAACUUCCCUCGCACAGUGAGGCACACUUUGGAGUGCGCCUACCCACCGGAGCCUGUCCCUACUCAUUAAAAGCAAAGGUAAAAUGUCACUGUCCAUUAGGUCCCAGCCAUGCACAUGCUGGAAGUAAUUACUUGGUCGUUACAUAAGACCAGUUUGGGUCUGAAUAAAUGGGGGGGAAUGCAAGAAUGGUGAGUCUUCAGCAGAACUCACAGGACACCCAAGCUGCUCUUCCCUGCAGCCACCAGGGUUUCCUUCAUGAGUCCACGGCCUGCACAUGUCACAUCCAUAAUCCUGAGUAAUCUGGACUCACCAGCACCUUUUCGCUUGCAGGAGUAUCAACCCUGUGUAUACUGCUACAUAAAUCGUAACGUAUCUUAAAUGUGAAAACCAGGUAUUUAUUUUCCACUAUAUAUCCAAUAACUUGAAUAAAAACAAAUGAUCUAAAAUUAUAUCAAUUCUGAUCCAAAAACUACAUAAAAUCACAAUAAUAAAUCCAGUGAAAUAUAACCACAUGAACCAGUUAUUCUUCCAUUAUUUCCAAAUGAUUCACUUUCCUCAAAGCUCAUGUAGAGAAAACAUACUACUGUUAUGUAUGUUUGACUUUGCCAGAAGUUUAUCCUCUUGUUAUUGGAGUUCAUCUGAAGAAUGCAUAUUUCUGUGUAGCUGAUUUGUCUCUGCCAAAUGCAUUUCCACCUUCUUGGUCUUCCUCAGUGGCACUUAUAACAGUAAUCAUGCAAAUUCUUCUUCCAAAGUAUCAAUGACAGUAUCAAAGUAAAGAGUAGUCUUGUAUUAUAAGCCUUUCUAUCUUGCCUUCUUUGGAUAGUGGUAACCUUAGCUUGCAUUCAGAAUGGCUAAUCUGGAUUAGAACCACUGGUUUGUAUUUAAGGAUGCAUCUGGAGUGUAAGGAAAG